ensembl:lncRNA
ACAAUGCCCUGCGGCUUCAGCGUGCACUCCUGCAGGGUUCAUGCCGGAAGGUUCGUUAGAUCUGUUCUGUCGUCCGUCUGUCGGUCUGUGUGUUUCUGCUCUCACAUGAGUGUGUGUGUGUGUGUGUGUGUGUGUGUGUGUGUGUGCAGCUGGCUGGCGUUUAGCCGUGAGAGUUUCUCCGGUCAUCAGUGUGUUCUGGAGGAGGGUUUUUAUCCUGAUCUGUGGACGAUGGGCUUCACACAGCCGGACGCGUCAGUGUUGUCGCUCCAGCCCACAGGACACGAGCUCUCUGUGCCGGCGGCGGUGCUGUUUGAGCGCUCUGGACUCAGAGGACGGAGGACAGUCCUGAAGUCAGGUUCAGUGAAUCUGCAGCUGACACACAGCUGCUCCAGAGUCUCGUCUGUGCUGGUGCUCGGCGGCAUGUAAGGAGCACACACUUCACUCUCAUUCACUCACUCACUCAUUCACUUACUCUCUCACUUACUCUCUUACUCAUUCACUCACUCUCUCUCAUUCACUCACUCACUCACUCACUCACUCUCUCUCUUACUCUCUCUCACUCUCACUCAUUCACUAACUCAUUCACUCACUCACUCUCUCACUCACUCUCUCUCUUUCUCUCUCUCACUCUCACUCAUUCACUAACUCAUUCACUCACUCACUCUCUCACUCACUCUCUCUCUUUCUCUCUCUCACUCUCACUCAUCCACUAACUCAUUCACUCCCUCACUCACUCACUCACUCUCUCACUCAUUCACUCUCUCACUCACUUUCUCACUCAUUCACUCACUCUCUCACUCAUUCACU